AGCCCCUAGGCAGCAGGAUCCCUUCACUGUUUUCUAAAGUUGCCUGAACUUAAGAAUUACCAGGGGCAAUUAAAAAAAAAACAAAAAAAACCAGACAGACUCCUAUGCCCGUGACAGAUAUGAGUGGGACCUAAGAAUUCCGUAUUGGGUCAGUUGGGGGAAACAGAUGCCGGGGAGCUCGAUUCCUAUUGUCAGGGGUUCAGGAAACACUAAGUACAGUGGUUGCUCAGUGUGAAUCAAAAUCACCUGGAGGGCGUGUGAGACCACAGAUUGCUGGGCCCCACCCUGAACUGUUGACAAGGCAUUUCUAACAGGUUGCCAGGUGAUGCUGAUGCUGCUUGUCUGGGAAGCACCUUUGAGCAUCACUGGUGUAGUAGGAGGUGCACUCGGCUGGGUGUUGGAAGAAUGGAAAACCUCCAUUGGUUUUAUCACCUCCAUCUUGUGACCUUAGACAAGUCAUUUAUCUCUGCACUGAAAAAUAGGGACUGAUAUCAAGAGUUUGUGAAGAUAAAAUGCUUCCCAAAAAAGAGGGCGGGGGGAUACAAAAUAGCCAAGUCUUAUUAUUAACAACAGAUUGGACCAGGAUGGAAUCCUUGUGUUGAAGACAAAGGGCCAAGGCACAGGACAGAGGGAGGGAGUGGCUAUGCGUCUGCAUCCGAGGACUUUGUCCCUUAUGACUUGGAGGUCCAAGUUCCUGGAAGAGUCAUCGGAGGGAACAGUGGCUUUGGAAAAGCAACUACCCCUGAAAUAGCCAAGUGGGGUGAGCAGCCUGUACCGUGCAGCCAGCCUGUGGCCUGCCCACACUGGGGAGAUUGCCCUAUGUCACAGGCAGGUCAGGAAGGGCCCGGCUAGCACAGCCAGGAGUCUUGGACAGUGGUCCCGUGGUGAUCGGCACAGCUGCCAGCUUUCUAAGCUGUGCAUCGAGGCGGACAGAGCAAGUAACUGAAGGAACCUUUCCUCGAUACUUGAUUAGCGCACAAGAGAGCUUGUGGGCUGGCCACACAUCACAAUGUUUUCUGAUUAAGAGCAGUGAGGGGCUCCAGCCAACCCUGGGCAUCAGAGUCACCAGUGGAACUUAAAAAAUGUAGAUACUUGUCCCUAGCCCAUAUCUCCUCAAUGAGAAUGGCAGGUGGGGAGGGUGGAUGGGGGGAAAUUGGGAGUCCACUGCAAUUUGGCUGUGGACCCUCGUUAAGAACCAGCGCCCUCAGAAUAACUGGAGAGGGGAGGGGUUGACCUUCCUUCCUCCUUCCUGGUGUCCGGCCCGCAGGGUUAGAGCAGCUGGGCGUGGCCUCCUAUUUCUCUUCCCUAACCUUGGUUCUGUGAAGAGGCUUGCCGGGUGCCCCAUAAAUUAUUUAAUCAGCCAAAGUCUUCCUCUGGGUAAAUGCCAGAAUUUCCUGCAAGAACUCAGCUGCCCUGGGUCACCACAUGGCACUGUGGUGGCUAGAAGAGCCUCUCCAGAGCCUCUUCUCCAGGAAAAAUUGAUGUUCCAGCAGAAGUUGGAAAAAUAAGUUGGGAAUUUAUCACUUUUCAAGAUGCCCAGGAUGUUUUAUUUUUUUUCUCUAAAAUCGAGCUAGGCAUUUUCCAGGGGAAUAUUAUACCAUUUGGAGCUGUAUUUAAUUAUCUGCCUAGUCAGGGCGAGGAUUAACUGCAUCUUAGCAACUGGGAAGUACUCUAAGUGCUGGGGGGAGGGGGGAGGGGGAGGGGCUGGUUACAUAGGUAGCUGGAAGCUUCCCGUGAAACAGACCCCGUUUGAUGAAGUGGGCUAUUUUAAGGGAAGAAAGCAGGCUCUGCAAUGACUACUUCUUGACUGCCGCAGCCAAGGCAUUCCUCUUCGAUAAACCUUAACUGAUGAUAGUAUGGCCUUUGCUGGAAUAGUCUGAGUGCCAUUUGUGAAUUCAACCAUCCAAUAAAUAUUUGUUGAGUCCCUGCUCCUUGUUCGGCCAGUGGUUCUCAACUUGGGCUCAACAUUAGACUCAGCUGGGGAGCUCUGAAAACAAACCCAGGCCUGGCCCCAUCAUCUGGAGCUUUAAAAGCUUCCCAGGUGAGUCUAAAGUACAGCCAGGUUGAGACCUCUGUGUCAGGUACCACCAGGAGAUGCUAGGGAUGCAGAUGUGACCAAGACUGACGCUUCUCAUCCUUCAUGUGUUCAGAUCCUUAAAAAAAUCAGGACAUCAUCCCAGAGGCACUGUCAGUCAGACCAGGUAUGCAGGAGGGCAGGUUCCAGGAUCACCCUCAAUAUUAUGCCUGCUGCUCUAACUGUGGGGAGCAUCCAUCUAGAUUUCCAGAAUAGUCUCAAUUUCAGGUCUUCUUUCUGUGAGCCAUAUAUCUUAAAUUCUUCAUUUGGAAAAGCUGGCCUCCAUAGCUAUAGCCAUGACUAUAACUCACAGAUGAUUUCGAUGAUUUCCACCAGGUGGCACAGUUCACCUGGUUUGUCGAGAUCAAGACCGAGCAGAAGGUGCCAAAGGUGAGAUCAUCAGGGACAGCAGUGACCAGGUGAACUGCUCUUCUCCCCUCCUGCAGGGGUUUCUCGCCUCCAGGGUCAGCUGGGACAGGGCUGGACUCCUGCCUGUGUUCCCUGGGUUGGCGAUGGCCCAUGUUUGUGCUUCUGCAGUGGAGGCAGCCACAGCCAACAGAGAGCAGGAGCCAGUGCUUCUCAGCAGCAGGGUUUGACCCAGGACAGCGGAGGCACCGAGCAUUUUCAAAGCAAGUGGCUGUUCCUGCAACUCCUCACCAGACCUCGUGGUCUCACGCCAUCCGAUGCCUUGCCUUACGGAGGCCGAGUGCUGGCGCACGCGAGGGUGUCUGAAGCUUCCGCUGAUGUCCGCAAGUGCCGCUGCAACCCGGAGCCGCAGUUCCCGAGACGGAAGGCUGCCUGUCGCCUGCUGUUUAGAACAUCUUUCUGCACAUUGUGGACUUGUCUGAUCCCAAGAAAACUGGAAAUUUGUGGAAAAUUUCAAUCAGGAACAUAAACUCAAUGUUCUGAUCAAUAAUGCAUAGUCAAUAAAAGAGAGCUCACAGAAGAUGGACUUGAAAAAAACUUGGCUCCCAAGACUGUGGGAAGCUCAAGGCUCAUCAUAGAAUUAUUUGGGAGGGCAGAGCAAGUUCAUCUCAGGUGGAGAGUGAGAUGAACUUGAAUAUGAAAACUGUAGCCAAGGGAACUUCCAGCAGAACUGAGGAAGGCACAACCAUGAGACAAGGAGAUGGAGCAACAAGGGCAUUCAGCCAGAACAGAGGACACCUGGAUUCUCGGUCCCGCUCUGUGCUAACAGGCCGACUGAUUUUACACCGGGCCAGUGGUUCUCAGAUUCAUCUUCCUCGACCAGCAGCAUCAGCAUCACUGGGGAACUUGGUAGAAAUGCACAUUCUUGGGCCUCACCCUCAAAUCUACUGAAUCCAAAACUCUGGGAUGGGGCAGAGAAAUCUGUGUUCUGAAAAGCCCUCCAGAUGACUCUGAUGCACACUCAAUUUGAGAACCAAGCCCAAGUUCGUAACCAGGAUGCAAUUCUGCCAUUGCUUCCUCAAACUCAUCAUUGUAUCAUCGUGAAAUAAGUGCUAAGGGAGCACUGGGAGGGGAGUGACCAUACAUGCCAGAGGAGGAUGGGCUGGAGGUGCUACUUAGAGGGCCAUCUGGGACUCGUUGCGAGAACUGAGAAUGUGGACAGAUGUGAUAGCCUCUGGGGGGACUGACUCUUUGAUUACAUGGCUGGUUAUGUUGUA
ensembl:lncRNA